UUUCCGUAGGUGAACCUGCGGAAGGAUCAUUCAUAAUAAAGUGUUUUAUGGCACUUUUUAAAAAUCCAUAUCCACCUUGUGUGCAAUGUUAGAUCUCGUCAAUCUUGGCGAGAUUUUUAUACGUCAACUCAUUCUUUAACUAACUUGUCUGAAAAAUAUUAUGAAUAAAACAAUUCAAAAUACAACUUUCAACAACGGAUCUCUUGGCUCUC
rnacentral:misc_RNA from 1 species